UGAUCCUGCGGGAGGCAGCAGUGAGGAAUAUUGGUCAAUGGGCGGAAGCCUGAACCAGCCAAGUCGCGUGAGGGAAUAAGGCCCUACGGGUCGUAAACCUCUUUUGCCGGGGAGCAAGGGCGGGGACGUGUCCCGGCCCGGAGAGUACCCGGAGAAAAAGCAUCGGCUAACUCCGUGCCAGCAGCCGCGGUAAUACGGAGGAUGCGAGCGUUAUCCGGAUUUACUGGGUGUAAAGGGAGCGUAGACGGUUCUGCAAGUCUGAAGUGAAAGCCCGUGCUUAACCGCGGAACGGCU
rnacentral:rRNA from 1 species